UUGAUUUAUCCAAGGUUCUGCCAUUUAGCUUGGAUAAGUGAGACUCUACUGUAUAUUGUAUUACAUAAUUAUAUCAUUAUCAAUACAAGACAAAUGAGGAAGCCCUAUAAGCCAGGGAGGUUGCUCUACAACUCAAGCUUCAAAUCGAAUGCAGAAGACAUCUGAGAAAAGAUGCAAAAGUGGCCUGUUCACACACAAGGGCUACACGUGGCUAAGUGUGCCGAAGAGGGUGUUUGCAUGUUCGGGAGAACUCACACUGGCACGUAGGUAUCAGUUCUGCCUGGUACUCCCUUUUCCUGCCUCCACUGUAAGUGUUAACUUCCCACCUACGAGCAGCAGCUGUGCCCGCCCACCCUUGGCAUGAAGCCUAGAUCCUGCGCAUACAGCACCUCCGGAGUAAGGGCCCUGGCUGACUUUCUCGGGGAAAAGCCUGCAAGAGGAGCAGCGGCAUUGGAUGGCAAUGUGACUGAUGCCUGGGGAAUCAUAAGCCCAGAAGACAAUUUAUCCCCAUCUCUUGUCCUCCAACCUCAAAUUUCUUAAUCCUUUCAAAACAGUGAAUCUAGUCAUGAAAACCUUUGACAACGCAUUGAACAUCUCUACGGGUAGAAACUGUUCCAAGACAUUGAAAUCCACAAGCAUGUGGACAACUUCAACAGAAAGGAAGAAACCAUGAAAAUGAACAAAAUCUGGCUACCAGUAUUACAAAACUCUAAAAUCAAAACAGUAGAUGGGAACACUAGAUGGGAACCAACACUCUGAGGGCAGAGGACUGAACAAAGGAUGCCCCCAGGCAAGAGACAAAAACCUUUCCAAUGCUAAUUAGGGUGAUUAACUGAAACAUUAAUGCUGGCUUCCCAGUGACAAAGGACUCUUGCCAUACCCUGGACUCUACACAGAUAUAUAUUCUUUCCUUUCCUUGCUUAGUUUAUCCAUACCUCACAACCUCUGAGGAUGCCUGCCAUAGAUGUGGGCGAAACGUCAGGAGAGAAUACUUCUGGAACAUGGCCACACAGCACGAAAGACAUACAACAACCCUGUGAUCCCGGCCAUGAAAGCCUUCGACAACACAUGUUCCAAGACACAUGAAUUGGAAAAACUAAGGACCAGGAAAGCACAUCUACUAUGCUCUCCGACUUUCCUUUGACGUUGCAGAGACACAGAUACUAUCCUACAAUUUCUCACAGCCAAAAGGACUUUCAAAACACCAUAGGCCCACCAUAUUUACGACCGCCUGGAACGCAACAGCAAGGAUGGGGCCUGCCAUGUGCCAUCACAUGACGCAUGGCAGGUGCUCACCUUCCCUUUCACCGGCAAUUGCCGGCCUGAAAGGACUGUGUGAAGUGGUAAAAAGUCACCUUAUGCCUGAGGUCUAUUUAACUGGAGAGAAAAGAGACAGAAGCCUUUUUUAUAUAAAAAUGAACAUGCCUUGCAAAACAUAUGGAGCGUAGGAUGUUGCCACUUACUGACAUCACUAGAGGACUUGAGAUGUUGCAAGUGGAACUGCCAGGGAUUUAACCUGGGACCUUUAAUAUACAGAAACUCUGUUGUGCCACUGAGUUGUGUCAUUCCAGGCUACCACUGUGGCUAUAAAUAUAAAUUCUAUAUCAUGUUUGCUGCUUCUUUUCCACAUUGGAUGCAUUUUAAUUUCAAUUGUUGUUUUGACCAUGUUGACUUUGGGUUGGCCUGUGUUUUAUGAGGCUUUUUCAACAUCAUUUUUCUAUAGCAAUUACAGUAGACUCUCAGUUAACCGGCAUCCAUGGGGGUUGUGAGAUGCUGGAUAAAUGUAGUUUCUGGUUGCUUGAGAGUUACUAUUAAAAUUGGCCUAACUAUGCAUAAUAAGCAAUAAAAAUAAAAUUAUGUUGUUUUAUGUGA